GCCCCCGUAGCUCAGUGGAUAGAGCAGCGGUGUCGCAAGUUCAAUUCUUGCCGGGGGUG
rnacentral:tRNA from 1 species